rnacentral:tRNA from 1 species
GCGAGUGUAGCUCAGCGGUGAGAGCGCCACGCUCAUACCGUGGAGGUCGAGGGUUCGAUUCCCUCCACUCGCA